rnacentral:rRNA from 1 species
CCUACGGGACGCAGCCGUGAGGUAUCUUGGUCAGUUUGUGCGGGCCUGAACCAGCCAAGUCGCGUGAGGGAAGACGGUCCUAUGGAUUGUAAACCUCUUUUGUCGGGGAGCAGAAGACGCCACGCGUGGCGUUCCGAGAGUACCCGAAGAAAAAGCAUCGGCUAACUCCGUGCCAGCAGCCGCGGUAAUACGGAGGAUGCGAGCGUUAUCCGGAUUUAUUGGGUUUAAAGGGUGCGCAGGCGGAAGAUCAAGUCAGCGGUAAAAUUGAGAGGCUCAACCUCUUCGAGCCGUUGAUACUGGUUUUU